GGGCCGCUAUCUCAUAGGCCAGAGAAACCGCCUCAUAAGCGGUGCCAUCCCGGUUCGACUCCGGGGCGGCCCACCA
rnacentral:tRNA from 1 species